CGGCCUUUAAAUACUCCUGUCGCACAUCGUGAGGUUCUCUUUUCUCUGUUCGCUGAGCUAUGGAAGUUUCGGUCCAAAUACGAGCAAUGAGUAAAAGUUCAGAGCUGGACCAUCAUGCCAGUAAACCUCCCAGUCACUUACUGGUCCACAGACUGGGGCAUCAGGUGCUGGGGAUGACCUUUAACCCUUAACCUGUCGACGUCAAAGCCUUCAGAUGUAAUGUAAUGGAUAAGCCAGCUGGGUUCAGCCGUCGGCCAUCUUUAACGAGGCCACAGGUUUGGCGGAAAUGAGUCAAGAUGACGGCGUCCGAAUGCAAGAUGGCGGCGGGAUGAUUUACUCUUGGAGCUGAGCAUCACUUUUCUGGUUCAGCUGAAGCAUGCAUGUCGUAAGGUGAAGUUUGAACAGCGAUUCUGCGUCACAGAUGAAGAUCAAAGCAGAUGUGGACCAGCUGAGGGGAGUUUGUUCUGAUGCGUCAUCUUCUCCAGAUUAAAACGAAAUGAAUAUUUCUUGUUUGUAAAUUUGAAUAAUUUGUAAGCAGACUUUUCUUUUGUAUAAAAAUAAAUAACAGACCAAAGGA